rnacentral:lncRNA from 1 species
GUCCAGGGAUUCCUCAUAGGCAUUCUUCAUCUUAAACAGCUCUGUGCUGAGGGAGCGAGACUCCUUCUGGGAGGCCUCCAGCUCAGCCUGCGUUUCCUCGUACUUCUGCUUCCACUCUGCCAGGAUCUUGUCAAAGUUCUUCUGCUUCUUGUCCAGAGCUGCGCAGGCAGCAUUUGCUCGCUCCACGUCAAUCAUCAGGUCCUCCACCUCAUUCUGCAGCCUCUGCUUUGUCUUUUCCAGGGAAGCACAUUUGGCAUUCACAGCUUCAACAUGUUCCUCGGCAUCCUGCAGGCGCUGUGCCAGCUUCUUCUUGGCCUCCUCCAGUUCCUCUGUGCGCUGAAUAGCAUCUGUCUCAUAUUUGGUUCUCCACUGGGCCACUUCACUGUUGGCCUUGGACAGGGCACGCUGCAGCUCACCCUUGGCUUCCUGCUCCUCUUCAUAUUGUUCCCGGAGCAAAUCACAGUCAUGACGAGCAGACUGCAAGGCGUGGGCCAGGGCGUUCUUGGCCUUGAUUUCUU